rnacentral:tRNA from 1 species
GGGUGAUUAACUCAGUGGUAGAGUGCUUCCGUCACAAGGAAGAAGUCGUUGGUUCGAGUCCAAUAUCGCCCACCA